rnacentral:rRNA from 1 species
AUACAUGCAAGUAGAACGCUGAAGAGAGGAGCUUGCUCUUCUUGGAUGAGUUGCGAACGGGUGAGUAACGCGUAGGUAACCUGCCUUGUAGCGGGGGAUAACUAUUGGAAACGAUAGCUAAUACCGCAUAACAAUGGAUGACACAUGUCAUUUAUUUGAAAGGGGCAAUUGUUCCACUACAAGAUGGACCUGCGUUGUAUUAGCUAGUAGGUGAGGUAAUGGCUCACCUAGGCGACGAUACAUAGCCGACCUGAGAGGGUGAUCGGCCACACUGGGACUGAGACACGGCCCAGACUCCUACGGGAGGCAGCAGUAGGGAAUCUUCGGCAAUGGGGGCAACCCUGACCGAGCAACGCCGCGUGAGUGAAGAAGGUUUUCGGAUCGUAAAGCUCUGUUGUAAGUCAAGAACGGGUGUGAGAGUGGAAAGUUCACACUGUGACGGUAGCUUACCAGAAAGGGACGGCUAACUACGUGCCAGCAGCCGCGGUAAUACGUAGGUCCCGAGCGUUGUCCGGAUUUAUUGGGCGUAAAGCGAGCGCAGGCGGUUUGAUAAGUCUGAAGUUAAAGGCUGUGGCUCAACCAUAGUUCGCUUUGGAAACUGUCAAACUUGAGUGCAGAAGGGGAGAGUGGAAUUCCAUGUGUAGCGGUGAAAUGCGUAGAUAUAUGGAGGAACACCGGUGGCGAAAGCGGCUCUCUGGUCUGUAACUGACGCUGAGGCUCGAAAGCGUGGGGAGCGAACAGGAUUAGAUACCCUGGUAGUCCACGCCGUAAACGAUGAGUGCUAGGUGUUGGAUCCUUUCCGGGAUUCAGUGCCGCAGCUAACGCAUUAAGCACUCCGCCUGGGGAGUACGACCGCAAGGUUGAAACUCAAAGGAAUUGACGGGGGCCCGCACAAGCGGUGGAGCAUGUGGUUUAAUUCGAAGCAACGCGAAGAACCUUACCAGGUCUUGACAUCCCGAUGCUAUUUCUAGAGAUAGAAAGUUACUUCGGUACAUCGGUGACAGGUGGUGCAUGGUUGUCGUCAGCUCGUGUCGUGAGAUGUUGGGUUAAGUCCCGCAACGAGCGCAACCCCUAUUGUUAGUUGCCAUCAUUCAGUUGGGCACUCUAGCGAGACUGCCGGUAAUAAACCGGAGGAAGGUGGGGAUGACGUCAAAUCAUCAUGCCCCUUAUGACCUGGGCUACACACGUGCUACAAUGGUUGGUACAACGAGUUGCGAGUCGGUGACGGCGAGCUAAUCUCUUAAAGCCAAUCUCAGUUCGGAUUGUAGGCUGCAACUCGCCUACAUGAAGUCGGAAUCGCUAGUAAUCGCGGAUCAGCACGCCGCGGUGAAUACGUUCCCGGGCCUUGUACACACCGCCCGUCACACCACGAGAGUUUGUAACACCCGAAGUCGGUGAGGUAACCUUUGGAGCCAGCCG